UUACGGUCACAUCAUAUUGGAACAUCGUUUCCCGUACAAUCCCCGAAGUUAAGCAACAUCGAGCCUGGUCAGUACCUAGAUGGGUGACCACUGGGGUAUACCAGGUACUGUAA